rnacentral:rRNA from 1 species
UACGUAGGCAGCGAGCGUUGUUCGGAAUUACUGGGCGUAAAGAGUGUGUUAGGCGGUGUUCCCAGUCUGUUGUGAAAUCUCCCGGCUUAACUGGGAGGGUGCAGCGGAAACUGGGGUGCUGGAGCGCGGGAGAGGAAAGCGGAAUUCCUGGUGUAGCGGUGGAAAUGACGUAGAUAUCAGGAGGAACACCGGCGGUGUAGACGGCUUUCUGGACCGUAGCUGACGCUGAGACACGAAAGCGUGGGUAGCAAACAGG